CAGUAGCCACGGUAAUACGGAGGGAGCUAGCGUUGUUCGGAAUUACUGGGCGUAAAGCGCACGUAGGCGGCUUUGUAAGUUAGAGGUGAAAGCCUGGAGCUCAACUCCAGAAUUGCCUUUAAGACUGCAUCGCUUGAAUCCGGGAGAGGUGAGUGGAAUUCCGAGUGUAGAGGUGAAAUUCGUAGAUAUUCGGAAGAACACCAGUGGCGAAGGCGGCUCACUGGACCGGCAUUGACGCUGAGGUGCGAAAGCGUGGGGAGCAAACAGGAUUAGAGACCCCAGUAGUCCCUGUCUCUUAUAA
rnacentral:rRNA from 1 species